rnacentral:rRNA from 1 species
GGGAAGUACUGUCGCAAGGCAGAAACUUAAAGGAAUUGGCGGGGGAGCACCACAAGGGGUGAAGUCUGCGGUUCAAUUGGAUUCAACGCCGGAAAUCUCACCGGGAGCGACGGCAGGAUGAAGGCCAAGCUAACGACUUUGCUGAACGAGCCGAGAGGAGGUGCAUGGCCGUCGUCAGCUCGUACCGUGAGGCGUCCUGUUAAGUCAGGCAACGAGCGAGACCCGUGCCCCUAGUUGUCAGCGAAUCCCUACGGGGAUGUCGGUCACACUAGGGGGACCGCUUACGAUAAGUAAGAGGAAGGAGCGAGCGACGAUAGGUCAGUAUGCCCCAAAUCUCCCGGGCUACACGCGGACUGCAAUGGCCGGGACAAAUGGUACCAACUUCGAAAGAAGACGGAAAUCCUAAAACCCGGUCCAAGUUCGGAUUGAGGGCUGCAAUUCGCCCUCAUGAAGCCGGAAUCCCUAGUAAUCGCGUGUCAUUAUCGCGCGGUGAAUAUGUCCCUGCUCCUUGCACACACCGCCCGUCACACCACCCGAGUGAGGUCGAGGCAAGGCUCUGCUCAU